rnacentral:rRNA from 1 species
AACGAACGCUGGCGGCAGGCUUAACACAUGCAAGUCGAGCGCCCCGCAAGGGGAGCGGCAGACGGGUGAGUAACGCGUGGGAAUCUACCCAUCUCUACGGAAUAACGCAUGGAAACGUGUGCUAAUACCGUAUACGUCCUUCGGGAGAAAGAUUUAUCGGGGAUGGAUGAGCCCGCGUUGGAUUAGCUAGAUGGUGGGGUAAAGGCCUACCAAGGCGACGAUCCAUAGCUGGUCUGAGAGGAUGAUCAGCCACACUGGGACUGAGACACGGCCCAAACUCCUACGGGAGGCAGCAGUGGGGAAUAUUGGACAAUGGGCGCAAGCCUGAUCCAGCCAUGCCGCGUGAGUGAUGAAGGUCUUAGGAUUGUAAAGCUCUUUCACCGAUGAAGAUAAUGACGGUAGUCGGAGAAGAAGCCCCGGCUAACCUCGUGCCAGCCGCCGCCGUAACAC